rnacentral:rRNA from 1 species
GAUGAACGCUGGCGGCGUGCCUAAUACAUGCAAGUCGAGCGAACGGACGAUAAGCUUGCGGUUCUGAUGUGAGCGGCGGACGGGUGAGUAACACGUGUAUAACCUACCUAUAAGACGGGGAUAACUACGGGAAACCGGAGCUAAUACCGGAGAAUAUUCUGAACCGCAGGGGGCGAAAGUGAAAGACGGUCGUGCUGGCACGAAUAGAUGGAUCCGCGCUGCAUUGGCUAGUUGUGAAGGUAACGGCUUACCAAGGGAAGGAUGCAUAGCCGACCUGAGAGGGUGGUCGCCCGCACUGGAGCUGGACCGCCGUCCAGGCUCCUGCGGUAGGCACCAGACGGCAACCUUACGCAGUGGGGGAGAGCCUUGCGCAGCAGCGCCGCGUGAGUGAUGGCGGUCUUCGGAUCGUAAUACCCUGUUUUUAGUGGAGAACAUAUGUGUAAGUAACUGUGCCCAUCUUGACGGUACCUAAUCAGAAAGCCCCGGCUAACUACGUG